GAACUUACCUGGAGACACACAGCCAGCAAGAUGAGCAUCUGGAGCAGAGAGGCUCUGCUCCUAGUGGGUAGACAAAAGAAAAGCAGAAAAAGAUGACAACACAACGGGCUGAAAUGACCAUAAUACCGGUAUGUGCCAGGAAUUUUACUUUAACGGAAGAUAGCGGUGAGGGCUUGAACACUAAGGAAUUAAUGAGAGAUCAGGUAACCAUCAACCUAAAAGAGCUCAGAGAUCAAGCUAAAAGAGCUUGGUUAUUUUCAUUCUUUCAAGUCUUAUUUUCAUGAGAUAAUUUCUUCCAAGGGGCAUUAAGAUUUGACUUUCGUAAUCAGGUCAUGAUGUGGCCUGCUUGCUUAUAUGAGAGGUUUUUAGUGCAAAGUGAAUUAAAUUCAUAGAAGAGCAUGCUGCUGCUUGAACUUAUAAAAAGUUUAGCUUUUAAUUUGAACAAGAGUAUUUUACUAGAGACAAUGGUGAUUUUAGACUAUGCUGAUUAUUUACAUAUUUAAGGAAAAGUGAGUAGAUUGUAGUUUUUCCAAAUUUGUGGCCAUUUUGAGAAGACAGAAAUGUAUAUGUAGUCUAGUUUCACAGAGAAUUCCUUUAAGAAAUAGCGAAAGAGAAAUUGAUAUAGAAAAUACAAUUAAGGCCUAAUUAUAUGUGUACUUAAUGGAUAGGUGAAGGCAUUAAGGAAAGACAGAGAGAGAAACAGAGCGAGAUCAUGUGUAUUUCAAGUGUAAACUGGCUAUUGUUUUAGGGAUUUGUGAAAGGAUAUUUGGAAAUCAAUUUUAUCACUUGAAUAUGAGAAAGGAUGCCAACAGAAAUAUAAUACUUCACAAAAUUAUUUUUGCACAUGGUGAUAAUCAUCAGUAAGAUUUACUUUUGAUCAAAUAAAGCAGCAGAACAGUGUAUCUUACAAAUAUGCUAUUCUCUUCAUGACAUGAUAAAUUCUGUGAAUUUUCGCAGAGUAUCUCUCUCAAAAAACUGUGAGGUUUUAAGAUUAGAUAAGGUAAGUAAGAUAAUACAAGGAAGAAAAGAAAGAAUUGAGAACUAAUAAAAAUUAAAUCAUCAGUUUUCACACUCUAAUAUUGUUGGCCUUCAAAUGGAAUGCCAUGAAUAAUUAAACACAUGAACAAAAAUGCUAUUGUGAUCAUUUCUCAAUAUUCACAAAAGAUAGUUACAACAAUCAAAAUUUAAUCUAUGCUUAAUACUAGAAUAUUAUUAGUACUUAGAUUUUGAAUAUGAUUUUUAACAUGUUGAAUGUUUUAAGAAAGGGCUUUAUCCCAAAUGAUGACAAAACUAUUCAUGACAGAAUAAUCUGAGAUUACGGGAAGUUUCCUUAUUUGUUCUUGUCUGUUAACUGUUACUCAAUUAAUUUGUUAACCUGAGGCUGAACAUUAACUCCAUAGCUACUUGAUAAUAAUGUUUAAAAAUAUGUAAUAACAGAAGUUGAACAUAUGUUUACUAGACACUAGGAACUAUUUUAAACCUAGGCAUUACUUUAAUUCUCACACUAUUCAUACAACAUACAUGUCUAUUGUAGUAUAAUCAAUAAUUUCAUAAAUAAGAAACAUAAAGCUUAAGAAUUUAACACCCUUGAGGCAAUUAAGAUGGUAAGUCAUUGAGCUAGAGUUCGAACCCAGGUCCCCCAAAAUUUUAACCAUCAGGUUAUCCUGCCGUCCAUAGAAAGGACCACAAAUACCCUACUCAGUAACUACAGGGGUUCCAGUAACUGGGUUACAGAACUUCAGAGAACCACUUACUAACUGAGCUAGUCAUUUAUUCUCCCUAAACUUCAUGCUAAUUAUCUUUAAUGCAGCAUUCAUGUUAGUACUUACAACCUCUUAGGUCUGAAGUAAUAAUUUAAUAAUGUAAUGCACAGAGGUAGUUUAAUAGUUUAAUUUCUAUUAUGCAUGACCCUAAGUAAGUGAGCAUUAAAAUAGCUUUUAUUAUUGUUCUUAGAUUCAUAUAUCUAUCUAUGUUUAUAAAACUGGGUACCUUAGAUUUGUGUGGCAUAGCAGAGCUUUCAAAAUGUUUUCACACAUAAAAUAUUCAUACAUAUGUUAUUUAACAUUUUACGUCAUGUUUAAUUAAGAUAGGCUUAACAUCCACGAUUUUAAGGCUUAAGAAUGACAUAUAAAAUUCAGGUGCUGCAACUCAACUAGCUUUUGGGAAAAAAAACACAGAAUACACUUUUUUUUAGGUCUGAGAUUCAGUUCUGAAGAGUUUGCUGCUUUACUUACUGAAUUUACUCACUUGAAAUAUGGCUUUCUUUCUAUGAUUCUGUGGAAUUGGCAACCUCUGUUUUUAUUCUAACAACGUAAUACAUUUCUAAAUUAAUAUUAUAUGGAUUUUUUCCCCCAUCAAAGAUUGCCCCCAUUCAGAAUAAAUACACAUGUCCCAUACUUUGCCUACAAUUUUACUUAUCCCAUUUGAGGAAUGUAUCUGUUUUAAGAAAAACAAGAAACAUAACCUGAUUGUGUUUCGUGGGGUCAGAAUCCCGUUCUUUGAGGAUUCUCUGAUCACAGUAGGUUCUCGACGAAUUUUGCUGAAAUUGUUGAACAUAAUUUGAGUAGCUACAAGCUUGGGAGCUAACUAUAUAAAAUUAUAUCCAUGCCGUCAAGUGACUUGCAAUUUUAUUGGUUAGAAUUCUCUUUGAAACAGCUUUUUUUCCAAGACUUUGAUAAAUGUAAUGAAUCUUUUUAGAAAAUAUAGAGAAAUGUAGAUUAUUGUAACCAAUGCCAAGAUACUCAUCUUGAUUUUCUUA
rnacentral:lncRNA from 1 species